CCAGCCAUAGCUCAGUUGGUAGAGCGGAAGACUGUAGUUGUAUAAUAGCCAUCUUUAGGUCGCUGGUUCGAAUCCGGCUGGCUGGA